rnacentral:lncRNA from 1 species
AGUGGGCGUGCAGGAGAAGCUGUAGGUCAGGAGGUAGAGUUGGCAGUGGGCGUGCAGGAGAAGCUGUAGGUCGGAGAGGUAGAGGUGGCAGUGGGCGUGCAGGAGAAGCUGUAGGUCAGGGGGUAGAGGUGGCAGUGGGCGUGCAGGAGAAGCUGUAGGUCAGAGUGGAUAGGUGGCAGUGGGCGUGCAGGAGAAGCUGUAGGUCAGGAGGUAGAGGUGGCAGUGGGCGUGCAGGAGAAGCUGUAGGUCAGGAGGUAGAGGUGGCAGUGGGCGUGCAGGAGAAGCUGUAGGUCAGGAGGUAGAGUUGGCAGUGGGCGUGCAGGAGAAGCUGUAGGUCGGAGAGGUAGAGGUGGCAGUGGGCGUGCAGGAGAAGCUGUAGGUCAGAGAGGUAGAGGUGGCAGUGGGCGUGCAGGAGAAGGUGUAGGUCAGGGGGUAGAGGUGGCAGUGGGCGUGCAGGAGAAGCUGUAGGUCGGGAGGUAGAGGUGGCAGUGGGCGUGCAGGAGAAGCUGUAGGUCAGGGGGUAGAGGUGGCAGUGGGCGUGCAGGAGAAGCUGUAGGUC